GAUGAACGCUGGCGGCGUGCCUAAUACAUGCAAGUCGAGCGAACAGAUGAGGAGCUUGCUCCUCUGACGUUAGCGGCGGACGGGUGAGUAACACGUGGAUAACCUACCUAUAAGACUGGGAUAACUUCGGGAAACCGGAGCUAAUACCGGAUAAUAUAUUGAACCGCAUGGUUCAAUAGUGAAAGACGGUUUUGCUGUCACUUAUAGAUGGAUCCGCGCCGCAUUAGCUAGUUGGUAAGGUAACGGCUUACCAAGGCAACGAUGCGUAGCCGACCUGAGAGGGUGAUCGGCCACACGGAAACUGAGACACGGUCCAGACUCCUACGGGAGGCAGCAGUAGGGAAUCUUCCGCAAGGGGCGAAAGCCUGACGGAGCAACGCCGCGUGAGUGAUGAAGGUCUUCGGAUCGUAAAACUCUGUUAUUAGGGAAGAACAAAUGUGUAAGUACUAUGCACGUCUUGACGGUACCUAAUCAGAAAGCCACGGCUAACUACGUG
rnacentral:rRNA from 1 species